rnacentral:rRNA from 1 species
AAUCAACGCUGGCGGCGUGCCUAACGCAUGCAAGUCGAACGCGAAAGCCCUUUCGGGGGUAAGUAGAGUGGCGUCCGGGUGAGUAACACGUAGGUAAUCUACCUUCGGGUGGGAAUAACUCGCCGAAAGGCGAGCUAAUACCGCAUAAUGCAGCGGCACCUAAUGGUGAUUAGUUGUUAAAGCGGGGGAUCGUAAGACCUCGCGCCUGAAGAGGAGCCUGCGGCAGAUUAGCUAGNGGUGAGGUAAUGGCUCACCAAGGCUUCGAUCUGUAGCUGGUCUGAGAGGACGGCCAGCCACACUGGCACUGAC